rnacentral:tRNA from 1 species
UCCCUGGUGGCUCAGAUGGUAAAGAAUCUGCCUGCAAUGCAGGAGACCCAGGUUUAAUCCUGGGUAGGGAA